GACGAACGCUGGCGGCGUGCUUAACACAUGCAAGUCGAACGGAAAGGCCCCUUCGGGGUUACUCUAGUGGCGAACAGUUGCGUACCACGUGAGUAACCUGCCCUUUACUUCGGGAUAACUUCAGUAAACUGGGGCUAAUACCGGAUAGGAAUCCUUGCUCCUUGGUGGGGGUUGGAAAGCUUCGGCGGUUUUGGAUGGACUCGCGGCUUAUCAGCUUGUUGGUGGGGUAGUGGCUUACCAAGGCUUUGACGGGUAGCCGGCCUGAGAGGGCGACCGGCCACAUUGGGACUGAGAUACGGCCCAGACUCCUACGGGAGGAAGCAGUGGGGAAUAUUGCACAAUGGGCGGAAGCCUGAUGCAGCAACGCCGCGUGCGGGAUGACGGCCUUCGGGUUGUAAACCGCUUUCAGCAGGGGCGAAGCUUGUGGUGACGGUACCUGAAGAAGAAGCACCGGCUAACUACGUG
rnacentral:rRNA from 1 species